rnacentral:rRNA from 1 species
UACGAAGGGGGCUAGCGUUGCUCGGAUUGACUGGGCGUAAAGGGCGCGUAGGCGGUUCGUACAGUCAGACGUGAAAUUCCUGGGCUCAACCUGGGGGCUGCGUUUGAUACGUGCGGGCUUGAGUUCGGAAGAGGGUCGUGGAAUUCCCAGUGUAGAGGUGAAAUUCGUGAGAUAUUGGGAAGAACACCGGUGGCGAAGGCGGCGACCUGGUCCGAUACUGACGCUGAGGCGCGAAAGCGUGGGGAGCGAACAGG